rnacentral:rRNA from 1 species
UGGGGAAUAUUGGACAAUGGGGGCAACCCUGAUCCAGCGAUGCCGCGUGGGUGAAGAAGGCCUUCGGGUUGUAAAGCCCUUUAGGCCGGGAAGAAGGUUAUGUGGAGAUAAUCCAUGUAAUUUGACGGUACCGGCAGAAUAAGCACCGGCAAACUCUGUGCCAGCAGCCGCGGUAAUACAGAGGGUGCGAGCGUUAAUCGGAGUUACUGGGCGUAAAGGGCGCGUAGGCGGUAGGAUGUGAGUGGUGUGAAAGCCCUGGGCUUAACCUAGGAAGCGCACCGCAGACUAUCCUACUGGAGUAGAUGAGAGGGUGAUGGAAUUUCCGGUGUAGCGGUGAAAUGCGUAGAGAUCGGAAGGAACGUCGAUGGCGAAGGCAGUCACCUGGCAUCAUACUGACGCUGAGGCGCGAAAGCGUGGGGAUCGAACA